rnacentral:rRNA from 1 species
UUUAAUGAGAGUUUGAUCCUGGCUCAGGACGAACGCUGGCGGCGUGCCUAAUACAUGCAAGUAGAACGCUGAGGUUUGGUGUUUACACUAGACUGAUGAGUUGCGAACGGGUGAGUAACGCGUAGGUAACCUGCCUCAUAGCGGGGGAUAACUAUUGGAAACGAUAGCUAAUACCGCAUAAGAGUAAUUAACACAUGUUAGUUAUUUAAAAGUAGCAAUUGCUUCA